GAGGUUGCAGUGAGCUGAGAUCAUGCCAUUGCACUCCAGCCUGGGAGACGGAGUAAGACUCUGUCUCAAAAACAAACAAACAAAACAAAACAAAAAACAGAGACGACCAUUCAUAAUCUGGCCAUCAAAAAGAGGCCAGGUUAGGCCAGGCGCAUUGGCUCAUGCCUGUAAUCCCAAAGUGUUGGGAUUACAGGUGUGAGCCACCAUGCCUGGCCAACCUCACACCUUAAGUAUGGCUAUAUCUCACUUGCAAGGUUAGGAUUGUUUCCUAACGUUGGCCCAUCACUAAAAAAGUUUUUAGUCUUAGAUAUCUUGCCCCAUCACCAAUUUACAUAGGUAAUUAGACCCACUGGGACAUACGAAGUACAGGAUAAAUUAGAGUAUAAUACAAAUCACUCCUCACUACUCUGUGUGGUUAAAUGUUGUGCUUUAAUUUUCCUGACUUCUUCCUCUAACGCACUGUGUCUCUGACAGCAAUUACACUGAAUCUCACCUCAAUCUUUCUCAGCAGGUUAUCUCAGUAAGAAUGCAGGAAUAAUAAUGUAAACUAACACCAGGAAGCUUGAGGGUUCUUUUCUCCUAAACUAGAACAUUCACUGAACAUCAUAGCCAAGUAACUGGGUAUGGUGUGUCCCCUCCCUAAACUUACCCGAGAUGAUAUCUGUGAGUAAGCGGUGGGGCAAGUGGAGAAAUUCCUCUGUAUUCUGCAGCUGGGCCAGGUGGGUCUUGGCACAGUGCUUGGCAGCCGUAUAGAGCUCAGGAUCACUGUGCCGAUCUGCCAGCCACAUCACCUGAAGGCAGUUUCCCACUUGCACUGUGCGGGCCAAAAACCGAGAGCAUUCCUCAAAGAGAGAUGUCA
rnacentral:lncRNA from 1 species